ensembl:lincRNA putative protein T-ENOL
CGGGCGUGCCUGCCGCUUGCUUCUAGCGCCGCCCUGGUGGUGGGAGGAUUAGAGCCCAGGUUCCACCUUAACGCCUUUCCAUCUCCUAAAUGCCUUGAUAUAACUCUGGGGUCACCGCCUCCAAGAAGGAAUCAGCAGAGCCAGGGGAUGGCAUCCACAUCUGCCAGGAGUGGGGACAAAAAGGACAUCAGGUCAUCUCAAGCUGCCGCCUCCUUAGGUGGAGGGCAGAAAGUCUCAUUAUCCUGCUCUGAAGAAUUCCUGACCCGAAUCAGCACAGAACUUACAGACGAAGCACUGUUUAUUGCUCGCUCCCGUUUGAGUCCUCUGCCCAAUAAGGAAAAGAACACAAAAGACCAAGGGACUCAGAUAUCUAGACAUGGUGAACGCUCUCCUUCUUCAUCUAGAGACCAGUCCCUGACUCCCUUCCAACCAUAGCUGCUCUCCGCAGGAAUCUGCCAAUGUUUUCCUGCCUCCUU